UUCGUGGUCUCCCAGUUCCCGUGGCCGUCGUAUUGGUCGGCAGGGGGCGCCGCGCCACAAGCUUCCUGCACAAGAGUCCAAAACUUCUUUCUUGGUUUCCUUUGAGACAGGCUGCAGGUUUCUUGGUUGCUGACACGGGUAGACGAUAAUAGGUGAAUAAACAAAAUCCAGCCAGCAUAAAUACAGUCUAACUGUUGAAGAACAGAUUUCUGAGUCUACCAUAACUUUCAUACACUGCAGCACUUUAACGUUGAACCUGCCACCUUCAGAUUCACACUGCAGCACCUCAGGUAAGAAGGAAAGGAAGUGAAUAUGCACUGAGGACCUACUUGUGUUAUGAGCUUUACAGUUCAGCUGCGCUGGAGAAGAGUUUAUUUCUUUCAUGGAAUCCAUUACAUCACCGAUCCCCUUCUGAAGGAGGUUAUUUUAUCCACGAGAGGAAGCAUCCAAAGGUGUUCAUAUUCUCUACCCUGUGACUCCAGCAGAAUGGUGACAAGGUUUUGAAGCAAAGGAGGGCACUUGACUCUAGGGCAGCCGUCCAUUAACUGACUAGCCCGGUGCCUGUGGAACAGAGUUGCGUGAGGAUUUUACCCUUUUGGAAUAAUCCAGUGACAAAACUGGAUACUAUUACUUUCAUUCCUUCCCCCGAUGCCAGGAGAU
rnacentral:lncRNA from 1 species